rnacentral:lncRNA from 1 species
AAGCUCGAGUAACGAGAGGCUGAAAUCGGCCUCCCGCAAGUGUGAAGAUAUAUGAUUAGAUACGAGAGGCUGAAAUCGGCCUCCUGUAGGUAUCAAAGGGCAGGGACAGUUGGAAAAGGUGAAGCCCCAGAGUGCAGCUAGCGAGGUUUACGUGCAAAGUUUUCGCUGUGCUUUGAGACUCGUCCAUGCAUUCAUCCCCAG